rnacentral:rRNA from 1 species
GUAGGGAAUAUUGGGCAAUGGAUGCAAGUCUGACCCAGCCAUCCCGCGUGCCGGAAGAAGGCCCUCAGGGUUGUAAACGGCUUUUGACGGUGAAGAAUCGACAGGAUGCGUCCUGUUUUGACGGUAGCCGUUGAAUAAGCACCGGCUAACUCCGUGCCAGCAGCCGCGGUAAUACGGAGGGUGCGAGCGGUGUCCGGAUUUAUUGGGUUUAAAGGGUGCGUAGGCUGGAAGGUCAGUAAGCGGUGAAAAGCUGUCGCUUAACGAUAGUCUUGCCGCAGAUACUUCCUUUCUUGGAUGAGGAGGAGGCCACUGGAACGGAUGGUGUAGCGGUGAAAUGCAUAGAUAUCAUCCAGAACACCGAUUGCGAAGGCAGGUGGCUGUACCUUAAUCGACGCUGAUGCACGAAAGCAUGGGGAGCAAACAGGAUUAGAAACCCGAGUAGUCC